UACGGAGGGUGCAAGCGUUGUCCGGAAUCACUGGGCGUAAAGGGCGCGUAGGCGGCUCAUGAAGGCUGUGGUGAAAGUCCGGGGCUCAACCUCGGAUCGGCCGUGGCGACUCGUGGGCUGGAGCACUGUAGAGGCGGGUGGAAUUCCGGGUGUAGCGAUGGAAUGCGUAGAGAUCCGGAAGAACACCAGUGGCGAAGGCGGCCCGCUGGCCCGGAACUGACGCUGAGGCGCGAAAGCGUGGGGAGCAAACAGG
rnacentral:rRNA from 1 species